rnacentral:misc_RNA from 1 species
UGUUUUAUGGAGAUUGAGAUGGCAGACGUCAGCUCCGAUAAAACCUGGACUUGUCAGACCCACCUGACAGAACCAAACUUAAAAUUAAGAUGACAAUCCGUACACCUGACCUAAGAAACAGUAAUGGUUAUGCCAUAACACUUCAGAGAUGUCUGCAACAAGAAAAAUUCAGAUGACCCAUCAAUCAUUCAAUUGAACCUACUAACUUUUCAAAGAAAAAGAUGAUUGUUAAAGGGUGGAAAGCAUCGGCCAAAAGAGGAAACUAGGACCAGCAGAUGUUUUUUGGAAUUUUUUGUAGUUUCAAAUGCAAUCUGUGCAGCAUAUAAUGCAAUGAAGAAGUUACUAAUUUGAAUUUUACAAGAAGAAAAUCCUGAUCUAAUUGCAUAAGAUUCAUAACUCUGCUAAAUGCACCCCUUCAAGGAUUAUAUGGCCUAAAUAUGCAAUUUUAGAAUUGCUUAUAACCUCCUCACCUAGCAAUCACGCUAAACAAAAACUGCAUGUGAAUGAAGCCAUUAAAUAUUUGCAGAGGAUAUGAGUUCCUGAAGUAAUAUCACCAUUUCCAACUGGAAAGCUUAUGGAAAAGCAAAGAACUAGCAUAAUUAAUAGUAAAUUAAUGGAAGAUAGUACAAGAAAACAGACCUGAGCAUUCAUAU